UGAGUUUGAUCAUGGCUCAGAUUGAACGCUGGCGGCAUGCUUUACACAUGCAAGUCGAACGGUAACAGGGAGCUUGCUCCGCUGACGAGUGGCGAACGGGUGAGUAAUGCGUCGGAACGUGCCGAGUAGUGGGGGAUAACGCAUCGAAAGGUGUGCUAAUACCGCAUACGAACUGAGGUUGAAAGUGGGGACCUUCGGGCCUCACGCUAUUCGAGCGGCCGACGUCUGAUUAGCUAGUAGGUGAGGUAAAGGCUCACCUAGGCGACGAUCAGUAGCGGGUCUGAGAGGAUGAUCCGCCACACUGGGACUGAGACACGGCCCAGACUCCUACGGGAGGCAGCAGUGGGGAAUUUUGGACAAUGGGCGCAAGCCUGAUCCAGCCAUGCCGCGUGUCUGAAGAAGGCCUUCGGGUUGUAAAGGACUUUUGUCUGGGAGCAAAUACCCGGUGUUAAUAGCG
rnacentral:rRNA from 1 species